AGCGAACGCUGGCGGCAGGCCUAACACAUGCAAGUCGAACGAAGCCUUCGGGCUUAGUGGCGGACGGGUGAGUAACACGUGGGAACGUACCUUUUGGUUCGGAACAACACAGGGAAACUUGUGCUAAUACCGAAUGUGCUCUUCGGAGGAAAGAUUUAUCGCCAUUAGAGCGGCCCGCGUUGGAUUAGAUAGUUGGUGUGGUAAAGGCGCACCAAGUCUGCGAUCCAUAGCUGGUCUGAGAGGAUGAUCAGCCACACUGGGACUGAGACACGGCCCAGACUCCUACGGGAGGCAGCAGUCGAGAAUAAUUCACAAUGGGGGCAACCCUGAUGGUGCAACGCCGCGUGGAGGAUGACGGUCUUCGGAUUGUAAACUCCUGUCAUCUGGGAGUAAGGCAUGGGUGUUAAUAGCACACAUGAUUGAUAGUACCAGAAGAGGAAGGGACGGCUAACUUCGUGCCAGCAGCCGCGGUAAUACGAAGGUCCCGAGCGUUGUUCGGAAUCACUGGGCGUAAAGGGAGCGUAGGCGGCGUGGUAAGUCAGAUGUGAAAUCCCCGGGGCUCAACCCCGGAACUGCAUCCUGAUACUGCCGUGCUAGAGAGCUGGAGAGGCAACUGGAAUUCUCGGUGUAGCAGUGAAAUGCGUGGAUAUCGAGAGGAUGACCAAUGGCGAAAGCAAGUUGCUGGACAGUAUCUGACGCUGAGGCUCGAAGGCUAGGGGAGCGAAAGGGAUUAGAUACCCCCGUAGUCCUAGCAGUAAACGGUGUGCGCUUGGUGUGAGGGGAAUCGACCCCCCCUUGUGCCGGAGCUAACGCGUUAAGCGCACCGCCUGGGAAGUACGGUCGCAAGACUAAAACUCAAAGAAAUUGACGGGGACCCGCACAAGCGGUGGAGUAUGUGGCUUAAUUCGAUGCAACGCGAAGAACCUUACCUAGGCUUGACAUGCAUCUCUAAGCGCGUGAAAGCGCGUGACCCUUCGGGGGAUUUGCACAGGUGCUGCAUGGCCGUCGUCAGCUCGUGUCGUGAGAUGUUGGGUUAAGUCCCGCAACGAGCGCAACCCCUAUGUUUAGUUGCCAGCAUGUUAAGGUGGGGACUCUAAACAGACUGCCCAGAUCAACUGGGAGGAAGGUGGGGACGACGUCAGGUCAGUAUGGCCCUUACGCCUAGGGCUGCACACGUACUACAAUGCCCAGUACAAUGAGAGCCGAGACCGCGAGGUGGAGGAAAUCUGUAAAACUGGGCUCAGUUCGGAUUGGAGGCUGCAACUCGCCUCCAUGAAGUCGGAAUCGCUAGUAAUGGCGCAUCAGCUACGGUGCCGUGAAUACGUUCCCGGGUCUUGUACACA
rnacentral:rRNA from 1 species